UCCUUCCAAAGAAAAGUUAAUCAGAAAAGCAAUAUAAUCAUGUCCACACAAAACAGCAAAGAAAAUUGGCGAGCUAUCAAUUGCCUUAUGGAACAUUCAUCAGACUCUUCCACAUUUUUCUUUUUCUUUCUUUUUUUUUUUAUUUUUAAUUAAAAGAAGCGACCUCAUUAAGAAAGAAGAAAAGAGAUCCAAAGGCAUGAAAAGGAUUCCUCUUAAGCAAGAACAAAAAAAAGAAACCCAAAGAAG
rnacentral:misc_RNA from 1 species